GAUCCUCAAGGUCAUCUGUCUACAUAGUUAUCCACUGACACACUGCUGCUCUGUAGUCCUCAGUCACCAGUGUACCAGGUGGCAAUGAGAUGUCCCCCAUGCUGUGCAUACAAUCCCUUCAGGUAUAGCAACUCUCUUUGUUUCUUCCUCAUCCCACUUGAGAGACAAGAAUUAUUCUGCUGCUUCUGUCAUCACGUGCAGCACAGGAAUCUAAGUCUCUCUUUGGCUCAGUGGACCCAGACUCAACAUCAGCUCUUCCCUCUUGUCACCUCAUCAGGAUUCUACUAUGGAAAACAGGUGGCAUGUGCCCUCUGCUCUCAGAGCAAAGGCUGUGUGAAGAAAUGGCGAGAAGGUGGCCAUCUGCAACCCAAGGAGAGAGCCGUCACUACACACUGACCCUGCUGGUACCUGGAUCCUAAACAUCCAGUCUCCAGAGCUGUGCGAAAUAAAUUCCUGUUGGUUAA
rnacentral:lncRNA from 1 species